CCACCCCCUCGACCCCCUGCGGCCCGGCCCUCCCCUCGCGCUCUUUUCCCCCUCCCGCCAGGCGCCGCAGCCACUUCCGCCCGUCCUCCGGAAGUAGGUCCCGGGCACCCGCUGGCUCCUCACGUCCCGCCCAUUCGCCUGGCCCUUGCCCGCCCAUCACCACCACCACCACCACCACGGGAGCACGGGAGAUCCACAAUAUCCAUACUAAUGUCCAGAGAAGAGUUGGAAAAGUGGAAAAGUGAGCAUCCCUCAGUACAAAGAAGACUGGAGCAGUCAUGGAAGAAACAUGGGUUCUGGUGAUUCGCUGUGUGGAAAUCUUCCCUUGAAGAGGUUAUGGAAUCAAAGCUAUGAAAGAGGAGUAGAAAAGAGAGUUAUAAAAUGCUGAAGAUUUGCCGGGUGGUGGUGGUGCACGCCUUUAAUACCAGCACUCGGGAGGCAGAGGUAGGCGGAUCUCUGUGAGUUCAAGGCCUGGCUGGACCGACAGCCUCCAAAACAAUACAGAGAAACCCUGUCUCUUAAAAUAAAAAAAAAAAAUGCUGAAGAUUUAACUUGGCAAGUUAUGAGAAAAGAAACUGGAUAUCUAGGAAGAGAUGGAACUUAAAAUAUGAGUGAUUUUUACUGCUUAAAAAAAAAAGCUACAGAAUAGAAUGCAGCCAGCAAAUUGAUUGUGCAUGGAGAAAUCUGAACCAAGAGGGCCAAAUUUGUAGAAUAAUAAAAGUAGAAAAUAGAUGUUCCAUGAACAAAACAACAUACAUCAUCCCAUUAAAAAGUAAGGAAAUUUGGGGAGCAGGAAUCUAUCUUGCACAGGAGGAGCUAUGGCAAAGAGAUAAGAGCACACUCUAGUCCCUGCAGUCCUGAGUGCAAAUGCUGCCGUACUACACUCUGUGUGCCCAGGUUUCCCCACUUGCCAAAUAGGAAAGUAGCCAGUGCAUAAUUGUAUGAAAAUGAGAAACACUGCAGGAAUGAUGCUGUGCUACACAAAAUAAAAGCUCUAGUUAGCCAUUUAUUUGAAAGGAGGAAGUUUUAGGAUAACCUUAAAUUCUAGGGUUCCACAUAUGAACAAACGGUUAAUGCAGGGCAUUUAUUGUUUUGUUUUUUGAGACAAGGUUUCUUCUGUGUGACAGUUCUAGCUGUCCUGGAACUCACUUUGCAAACUGAAUUUACUAUCUACUUUCCUUUCUGAAUCAUUCUUAGACUUUCAUAUAUUUAAAUCUUGUCUUCCAGUAUGGAUUGUAGAUGUAAGAACUUAUGUUUUAGUCUUGAGUAAAUUUUUUUUAAUAAAGAAUUUUAAAUUGAUCUGAUAGCAACAGUUUCUAUAUCGGCAGCUAACAGUGUUCAGGUUUUUGUGCUUUGUUUUCAAUGCCUCUUUGAAAGAUCCAGGUUUCCUUACUAGGAGGUCUCUUUAAGUUAACAAAAGAAACCAUUUAGGAAAGAGUAGUUUAGGCCACUCUUUAUUAACUUUCUUCUGCUGAGUAAAGAGAAGGUAAAGAGUGCCCGGUGUCCUCUGGUGGGUCUUGCAUUAAGCCAGAGACUGGAAGAUAGGAGUCUGAUCUUCACCUCAACACAUGCUCAUCGUGAAGUACAAAUUUCAGUUUCUCUGCUAUAAAACGAAAAUCGUAAGAAAGGAGCAACCUUACACUACUGUUGAGAACAUUAUAUAAAAUGCAUGUGCAAAGUAGCCUAGGUAUGAUUCUGGCUAUAAUCUCUCUCUUUUUUUUUUUUUUUUUUUUAACGAGCAGGGUUUCUCUGUAUUGUUUUGGAGACUGUCAGUCCAGCCCGGCGUUGAACUCACAGAUACCCGCCUGCCUCUGCCUCCCAAGUGCUGGGAUUAAAGGCAUGCGCCACCACCGCCCGGCUUAUAAUCUCUUUUUUGCAUGAGAUAAAUCAUGUAUAUAUUUGGACAUCAGCCUGUAGGGUGACAGAAGCUUCAUAAGGUCUGGAGGUAUUUCCAGGUUCCCUAAUAUCAUGGUGCAUCAUUUUAAAUACACUGCUUGUUGGAGCUGCAUUUCUAGGACCCAGAUCCAUCUCAUAAUGCUAAGCCAAGGCAAAAAAAAAAAAAAGUGUGAUUUCAGGGUACUCCUAACUGCAGAGUUUCCUGUGGCAACUCAAGGUGAGAUCUAGUUUUAGUAGGAAGUCAAUCUUACUGAUGAUUCCAUCUUCCAGUCUGCUGCACUGGAUGUUGAGGAUGACUAUCCAUCUUCUAAAAUCCUGCUAGUUGGUUUCAUGACAUAAAUAUCUCCUGGUUUCCCCCCACUACUUCAAAAACAUUUUUAUCUUGGUAAGUACACAUAAAUUUUUACCAUCUUAGCCUUUUUAAAAGCAGUUAAAUAGCCCAAGUGUAUUCAUAUUUCUAUGUAACUAAUCUCCAGAACUCAUUUCAUCCUCCAAAACUAAAAUUCUGUGCCCACUAAGCAGUAACUCCCUGAAACACAAAAAACAAAAGACCCAGAGAUGGAUAUUGGGGUUCAAGCUGAAGAUCAGAGAAGCAAAGGAGCCAAGCCAGUAGAUAUUACAUCUACUAAGCUGAAAUGGCAGUCCUGUCUCCACCAGUCCUCAAAGGCAAAAGCUCUCAGUUCUUAUCUCUUACUGCCUUUUAUUCCUUUCCCCCAGCCAGCCAUAGCACUCCUGUCUCCACCUCCCUAGUGCUGGGAUCAAAGGCAUGCGAUUCCAGGUGCUGAGAUCACCUUUGUGUGAGCUGUUUCUUUUAGAACUGGAACAAUUUCGGGUAGUCAGUGUGACUUUGAACAGAGAUCCUGAGUCCUGGCAUUUAAGGUGUGUACCACCAUCGCCUAGCUCUGUGGCUGCUGGGAUUAUCACCACUGCCUGACCUCUAUAGCUCAAGACUGACUUUACUUUCUGAAUCCUCAGGAAGGCUUUAAUUACAUCAGAAACAAUAUAUCACCAUAACUCCCCAUUUCCCUUUACUGGUAGACCCUGCCUUUCACUUUAUGUCCAUGGAAAUGACUGCUCUGUGCACCUCAUUUUAGUGAGGUUAUGUGUUCAUGACUCCAUUACCACAUGUAUGUUGAAAACCUCACAUCUUUAUCUCCUGCCCAGAUGUGUCUACUGAAAUCCAAACUCCCUGGAAGGCCUUCUGGCUACUGUUUCCAGUGCACCUCUCUAAAAUAGAAACUCUCUACCAAAAUCUCCUUUGUCCUUGUGUUCCAUAUCCAGAAGAGUGUCACUGCCCUUUAACCUGCUACAGAGACUAUUGCUUUUCUGCUUCCCUAGUAUCAUUUUUCUGUGUAUUUUAUAAUUUUACCAUUUCUUCCUAAGGGACUACUUUCUUCACCCUCAUUCCUAGUUCUUUAAGCAGCCUUAUUACUUAGACUUGUGUAAUGUAAGCAAUCCAUAAUUCUCAACCUUUCGGAAAAUCCUGAUGGGCUUUGCAUACAUGAAUUGCUAAUUCACUGGAUUGCUAUAACUGUUAUGACUGCCCUUCUAGCCCAUCCCUAUUCCUUUGUAACACCUGAUGGUCUGCAGAACCACUCUACCAGGGAUUCCCAUUGGCCACAGUGACUCAGGUAGGUGACCUUCAUUAUCCUUUCUGCUUCCCCUCCUCUCACUCCUCCUCCCUUCUCUGGAGACUCUGACUCUUGGUGAAUAUCCCGAGUGGCCCUAGUUGUUUCCCACUGUGCCUUUCAGCCUUCCCUUGUAGCCUACUUCCAUUCAUUUGUGAUACCUGCUGACCCACAGAAACACUACCAGGGAGCCCACAGCCACCACACUUAGUUAGGAUCCAUAGUGGGCAACAGUAACAGAACACCCACCUGGCAAAGAUGAGAUAUUUAUGCAAAAAAACACUUCAGACAUCUCACUCCAGAUGCCUAGAUCCCAGCGUAAAAAUAAAUAACAAUGCACAGCCAAGACAGUAUGCCUCCAGAAGGUUGCAACCUUACUGUAGUAGGCCCUGAGGAGAGCAGUUUAGCUGAAGCACAGGACUUCAAAAUAGUUAGGAAUAAGUUUGUGGACCAUAAGGAGGAUACGAUGAAUGUUUUCAGUGAAGGCUAUGGCACAAAGAAUUGAAUGAAAUGAUGAAAAAAGUUCAAGACAGGAAAGUAGAACUUAAGAGAGAAAUAAAAUCACUAAAGAAAAUCCACACUGAAGUUAAAAUAAAAAACUCACGGAGUCAAAAACUGUAGAGGUAUGCUUCAACAAGUUAAGACAUGGAAGAGAAUUUCAGUUCUUGGAAAGUUAGAGGAAAUGGAAGCUCAGUUAAAAUGUUAAUUCUAAAAGCCCAUGAGAUGUUAGAAGACUUGGAAAGUCAGUUAAAGAAAAUAUUAAAAGUAAGUCCAGGUACAAAACAACUGAUUAAGAGAUGAGACAACCAAGUUACAGAUAAUUUCUACAACUUCAUCAGUGCUCCACAGCUAGGACUUACUUGGACUGCUUCAAGACCCUCAUUGUGGGGUGGGAGAGGGAGCUGGGAUUGACAUGUGAAGCAUUUGUGCUUCUAAUUUAAAUAAAAACAUAUAUUGAGGGAAAAAAGGCCCUCAUUGUGACUAUUAA